GUGAAACGGCCAAAACAACAGCUGAGUGGUUUACUAACUUCUGCGAGAAGUUACGUUCAGGCUCGGAGUCUGGGUCGGAUUUUUUUUUUAUCAACAAAAUGAAAGCUAAAUUGCGAGUGUAAGACACGACCGAAAGUUGUUUCCUUGCUGCGGGACAAAUGGAACAAGCAGAGGAGCUGGAGCAGAUUGCCACAUGGUUCAGGCAGGAGGGACUGGCCCCUGACUCCACUAAGGAGGCUCAGCUGUGCUUGCUAUGGCGUGCCCUCCAGCACACAAGAAGCCGUCUAAGCAAUGUGACGAGGGACCUGGAAAUCCACCGCUCAAAACACUUGGCAGAGAUGGCCGAGGUACGCAAGUCGCUGGAGCAGAUUCGGAUCUUUACAGAACACAAAGAUGUUUUGGCUCAGGAGAUUCAGAAUGAGAACGAUCAGCUUCAGGUGCAGCUGCACCGCCUAGUGUCCCUCCAAGGUUAGUCGUUUUUCUUCCUUGAUAUGCCACUUACAGGUUUUAAUAUUUAUUCAUUUUACAGGAAACAUGCUCCCCCUUUCAUCAGAACCUAUUUAGAUGUUAUACUACUAUCAUUAAACUUUAUACACCCAAAAUACACUCUCCUAUUAACUUGGCUUUUUCCCUUCCUUAUCAUGACAGAUGCCCAGAUAAGUGAGGUGGCUAAAAUGCUGUACCAGCAGGGCCUCACAGAGUUGAUCCACAGCAGCCCCAGUGAGCAGGUGGCUUACCUCCUGGUGGAGAGGGCUUCCCUACUUGAGACGAGUGUUGAUCCUGACAACCUGACGGCAGACGGAAACACAGCCAGCCUGCUGGGGGCAGAAGCACAAAGGAUGAACACCAACACACACCAGUGUACCCACAAGGGGGCGGCAUGUCAUGGGCAGAGCGCUUGGAAAAAACUAUUUGGACUCCACAAGGCUUUACAGAGCAAACAUACGUUUAUUCCUGCUGAGGCCAGACAUUCGGCUUGCCGGUCAGGUAGUUUGGAGAAGGAGUGUUCCCGUCUGGAGCGGGACCUGGAGGAGGGCUCCCGACGGCUGGCCAUGGCCCACAAUGAGAUCCGGCGCUUGACUGAUGAGCUGGAGUCUGCUCAUCUGACCCAGAGAGCUUAUGGUGAGAAAAAUCAGUCAGCCAUUACCAAAGAGCAUGCCAUUCUUAGAGUGAUUUUUCCUGGUCAUUACAUAAUAGCUCAUCAAUCUCUGUUAUCUCUGUUCCUUUUCCUGACUUCUAGAAAAGUAAAUCACAUCCUAAUGUUUGCACUUGUCUAA
ensembl:lncRNA